rnacentral:lncRNA from 1 species
GAAGCCAUAUCAUCCUAUUUAUAUUACCUUGCCAUGUGAUUUAUAGGCUACAGAGUAUCUUUAAACAUUCUGGUUUAAAAAGAGCAGCACUUUAAAAUGACUAUUAUCUUCAGGGAAUAAAGACUUUUUAUUUUACAAUCUUUUUUGUCUUGCAUCAUAUAUAACCUUCUGUAACUUACUGAAUCAGGCUUUAAUUGUAGGUGGAUCCUUCUGAUUCCAUUGUUUAGCUGUGCAAAAUUCUGCAGCAAUUAGAAGCAAGCCACAAAGCUCUUUCUCCUUACUUAAUAAGACACUAUUUCAAAAGAAAGAGUGCACAGAUUGAAGUACUGUAGGUCACAAGCUAAGUAACCUGGGCCAUAACCAUGACACAGGAUAAAAUGAACUAUUGCCCCACUAAAGUUCCUUUAGCAGUGUGUUGAGAUACAAAGACUUCACAUGAGAUAGGCCUUCUGGUGUGGGAUACCACUGAGCUGACAACUCAAACUGAUUCUUAAUUAAGAUAAUUAAUUUAAUUAGGAGUUACAGCAUGGAAUUUCAUUUUUUAAUGGGCCUCAAACACAAGUGGCUGUGUAAAAUCAUUUUGAGAUCAAAGUGACUUUGGGUAACUGGGCUGGUUUUCACCAGCCUGUCAGCAAUGAGAAGUCAGCUACUCAUUCCUCAGUUGGGUCAGGAAAACUGACAGCCUUCCUAAGGUCUGCACACGUUAAUCUGUAAAACUUGAAAGCCCCAACCAUCCUCUAUAAAACUUAUGUAACUGAAAC